UACAGAGACUGCAAGCGUUAUUCGGAUUCACUGGGCGUAAAGGGUGCGCAGGCGGCCAAGUGUGUUAGGCGUGAAAGCCCGGGGCUUAACCCCGGAAUUGCACCUAAAACUACAUGGCUAGAGCAUUGGAGAGGGUAGCAGAAUUCAUGGUGUAGCAGUGAAAUGCGUAGAUAUCAUGAGGAAUACCAGAGGCGAAGGCGGCUACCUGGACAAUUGCUGACGCUCAGGCAACG
rnacentral:rRNA from 1 species